rnacentral:rRNA from 1 species
CAGCCGCCACGGUAAUACAGAGGAUGCAAGCGUUAUCCGGAAUGAUUGGGCGUAAAGCGCGUCUAGGUGGUUAUGUAAGUCUGAUGUGAAAAUGCAGGGCUCAACUCUGUAUAGCGUUGGAAACUGUGUAACUAGAGUACUGGAGAGGUAAGCGGAACUACAAGUGUAGAGGUGAAAUUCGUAGAUAUUUGUAGGAAUGCCGAUGGGGAAGCCAGCUUACUGGACAGAUACUGACGCUGAAGCGCGAAAGCGUGGGUAGCAAACAGGAUUAGAGACCCCUGUAGUCCCUGUCUCUUAUACA